rnacentral:rRNA from 1 species
GAUGAACGCUGACAGAAUGCUUAACACAUGCAAGUCGAUGGGGAAGUGGUGCUUGCGCCAUGGUAACCAUGGCGGACGGGUGAGUAACGCGUAAGGAACUUGCCUGCGGGACUGGGAUAACAGCAGGAAACUGCUGAUAAUACCGGAUAAGGUCAUUAAGCUGCAUAGCUUAGUGAUGAAAGGAGACGCCUGCGGAGAGCCUUGCGUCCUAUUAGCUAGUUGGAGGGGUAACGGCCCACCAAGGCGAAGAUAGGUAGCCGGCCUGAGAGGGUGGACGGCCACAAGGGGACUGAGAUACGGCCCUUACUCCUACGGGAGGCAGCAGUGGGGAAUAUUGGACAAUGGGGGCAACCCUGAUCCAGCAAUUCUGUGUGCACGAAGACGGUUUUCGGAUUGUAAAGUGCUUUCAGCAGGGAAGAAGGAAGUGACGGUACCUGCAGAAGAAGCGACGGCUAAAUACGUG